AGAGUUUGAUCCUGGCUCAGGACGAACGCUGGCGGCACGCUUAACACAUGCAAGUCGAACGAGAGAAGAGGAGCUUGCUUUUCUGAUCUAGUGGCGGACGGGUGAGUAACACGUGAGCAAUCUGCCUUUCAGAGGGGGAUACCGAUUGGAAACGAUCGUUAAUACCGCAUAACAUAAUUGAACCGCAUGAUUUGAUUAUCAAAGAUUUAUCGCUGAAAGAUGAGCUCGCGUCUGAUUAGCUAGUUGGUAAGGUAACGGCUUACCAAGGCGACGAUCAGUAGCCGGACUGAGAGGUUGAUCGGCCACAUUGGGACUGAGACACGGCCCAGACUCCUACGGGAGGCAGCAGUGGGGAAUAUUGCACAAUGGAGGAAACUCUGAUGCAGCGAUGCCGCGUGAGGGAAGAAGGUUUUAGGAUUGUAAACCUCUGUCUUCAGGGACGAAAAAAGACGGUACCUGAGGAGGAAGCUCCGGCUAACUACGUGCCAGCAGCCGCGGUAAUACGUAGGGAGCGAGCGUUGUCCGGAAUUACUGGGUGUAAAGGGAGCGUAGGCGGGAUCGCAAGUCAGAUGUGAAAACUAUGGGCUUAACCCAUAAACUGCAUUUGAAACUGUGGUUCUUGAGUGAAGUAGAGGUAAGCGGAAUUCCUAGUGUAGCGGUGAAAUGCGUAGAUAUUAGGAGGAACAUCAGUGGCGAAGGCGGCUUACUGGGCUUUAACUGACGCUGAGGCUCGAAAGCGUGGGGAGCAAACAGGAUUAGAUACCCUGGUAGUCCACGCCGUAAACGAUGAUUACUAGGUGUGGGGGGACUGACCCCUUCCGUGCCGCAGCAAACGCAAUAAGUAAUCCACCUGGGGAGUACGACCGCAAGGUUGAAACUCAAAGGAAUUGACGGGGGCCCGCACAAGCAGUGGAGUAUGUGGAUUAAUUCGAAGCAACGCGAAGAACCUUACCAGGUCUUGACAUCGUAUGCAUAGCUCAGAGAUGAGUGAAAUCUCUUCGGAGACAUAUAGACAGGUGGUGCAUGGUUGUCGUCAGCUCAUGUCGUGAGAUGUUGGGUUAAGUCCCGCAACGAGCGCAACCCUUACUGUUAGUUGCUACGCAAGAGCACUCUAGCAGGACUGCCGUUGACAAAACGGAGGAAGGUGGGGAUGACGUCAAAUCAUCAUGCCCCUUAUGACCUGGGCCUCACACGUACUACAAUGGCUGUCAACAGAGGGAAGCAAAGCCGCGAGGUGGAGCGAACCCCUAAAAGCAGUCUUAGUUCGGAUUGUAGGCUGCAACCCGCCUACAUGAAGUCGGAAUUGCUAGUAAUCGCAGAUCAGCAUGCUGCGGUGAAUACGUUCCCGGGCCUUGUACACACCGCCCGUCACGCCAUGGGAGUCGGUAACACCCGAAGCCUGUAGUCUAACCGCAAGGAGGACGCAGUCGAAGGUGGGAUUGAUGACUGGGGUGAAGUCGUAACAAGGUA
rnacentral:rRNA from 1 species